UGUCCCCUGCGGUGUUCGUCAAGGCCAUAUAUUCCUUGAACCAAUGCUAAUUGGCAUCGGCCGCGAACCACUCAUCCGCUGUUGUGAGCGCCCUUCGUCGGGUGCACCUGAUGCGGACGGCAAGCGACCACUCUGAACUCAGGUUCAGGAUGCCGGCCUAACGGCACAGGCGGGGGCCUA
rnacentral:other from 5 species